CGUGAUACAGGAGCGCCUGCAGUCAGUGAUGGAGUGUUGUGGGGAAUGGCCUCGUGGGGAAUACGAAAACUAUGCGGCACGGAGCGGUUUCCAGCAAUGUUCUCGUACUUAGCAUCGCAAUCCAACAUGGACUUUAUAAUGAACGCGACCAGGGUCCUGAUGGCAGACGAGCGAUAUUACCCCUUCCUGGACAAGCGCCCGCGGAUGCACAUCACAACCACCACUACCACGCCACCUACUCUGCCUUAUUGAUACCCUGGUACUUCUGUAAUAUAUUAAUAAAAUUAUCAUAGUA